UACGUAGGGUGCAAGCGUUUAUCCGGAAUUAUUGGGCGUAAAGAGCUCGUAGGCGGUUUGUCGCGUCUGCUGUGAAAACUGGAGGCUCAACCUCCAGCCUGCAGUGGGUACGGGCAAACUAGAGUGCGGUAGGGGAGAUUGGAAUUCCUGGUGUAGCGGUGGAAUGCGCAGAUAUCAGGAGGAACACCGAUGGCGAAGGCAGGUCACUGGGCCGCAACUGACGCUGAGGAGUGAAAGCAUGGGGGAGCGAACAGG
rnacentral:rRNA from 1 species